GACGAACGCUGGCGGCGUGCUUAACACAUGCAAGUCGAACGGUAAGGCCCUUCGGGGUACACGAGUGGCGAACGGGUGAGUAACACGUGGGUGAUCUGCCCUGCACUUCGGGAUAAGCCUGGGAAACUGGGUCUAAUACCGGAUAGGACUCCUGGCUUCAUGGUUGGGGGUGGAAAGCUUUUGCGGUGUGGGAUGGGCCCGCGGCCUAUCAGCUUGUUGGUGGGGUAAUGGCCUACCAAGGCGACGACGGGUAGCCGGCCUGAGAGGGUGACCGGUCACACUGGGACUGAGAUACGGCCCAGACUCCUACGGGAGGCAGCAGUGGGGAAUAUUGCACAAUGGGCGCAAGCCUGAUGCAGCAACGCCGCGUGAGGGAUGACGGCCUUCGGGUUGUAAACCUCUUUUAGUAGGGAAGAAUCGAAAGUGACGGUACCUGCAGAAAAAGCACCGGCUAACUACGUGCCAGCCGCCGCAGUAA
rnacentral:rRNA from 1 species